rnacentral:rRNA from 1 species
GACGAACGCUGGCGGCGUGCUUAACACAUGCAAGUCGAAUGGAAAGGCCCUGCUUUUGUGGGGUGCUCGAGUGGCGAACGGGUGAGUAACACGUGAGUAACCUGCCCUUGACUUUGGGAUAACUUCAGGAAACUGGGGCUAAUACCGGAUAGGAGCUCCUGCUGCAUGGUGGGGGUUGGAAAGUUUCGGCGGUUGGGGAUGGACUCGCGGCUUAUCAGCUUGUUGGUGGGGUAGUGGCUUACCAAGGCUUUGACGGGUAGCCGGCCUGAGAGGGUGACCGGCCACAUUGGGACUGAGAUACGGCCCAGACUCCUACGGGAGGCAGCAGUGGGGAAUAUUGCACAGUGGGCGGAAGCCUGAUGCAGCAACGCCGCGUGCGGGAUGACGGCCUUCGGGUUGUAAACCGCUUUCGCCUGUGACGAAGCGUGAGUGACGGUAAUGGGUAAAGAAGCACCGGCUAACUACGUG